AGGGCUAUUAAACAUUCAGGAGUGUGUUUCCUUUCCUCUUGUUUGUCACAGAGAACUUCAAGGGGUCUCGAGGUCCCCUUCAUGCAGACCAUGAUGUAGAAACUACACCAGUAAAAUUCCCAAUUCCCAACAAGACAAAAAGCAGCAAGAAAAUCUCCAACAGUAGCUCUUCAGCUCCAGUGGCAGCUGUCAUUGCAGGUCAUAGCAGGGUCUGGUGGGAGAUAAUAUCCAAGAGCUCAAGCAAGUCUCAGGAGUACUGAUAUCACAGUUCUGCUGAUUUUGUUACUGAUUUGCUGCUUGACCUUAGAUAUGGAAGAUGGUUUGGGAUCUGGCAGCUGGCACAGUGCUCAUAGUAGGUCUGGCACAG
rnacentral:lncRNA from 1 species